AUGAGUGCCCAUGACUCAUCUCCACCAUAUGUUAUUCUCCUUAGAUAGGAUCUCUCAUGUCAAGACUAUAGUAUAUUCUUAUCCUUUGAUUUGGCCUUUAUGAAAAUGUCAUAAUUUCGGAGAAAAUAAGUUCUUAAUUUGAUCUCAAAGGCCAUAUCCUAGAGGUAGUUUCUUCAAUUCUUUCUUGAACAUCUAGAGCCAUAUGUACAUGUUCUGUGGGAUGGUGUAAUCUAC